AAGUUUUUCCAUUCUUUUUUUCCACUGUGGUACAUGAUUGAGUGUAAGCUGUUGCACAAGAAGAUGAGAUUAAAUGCUUGAAAGUGUUUUUACCAUCUUGUCUUUAUAGGCUCUUUUUGCAGAUUUAAUUGCUCUAUGAAGAUCAUAUCAGGGCAUUCUUUAUACCUUAGUGUCAUCUGAAUUGUAGGCUGAAGUACAAUCUUUGAGUUUGGCCCUAACAUCAGAAGGCUUGACAUAUUGCACUUAUAAAGAUGAUGAACAUAUGAAGUGUUGCUACAUGAAAACACCAGCUCUGGUUUUAAUAUCAUCAUACUCAGCAAGAUGUUUGACCUAGGUCUCCAGCACAAGCUGUCCCUGUGCAUACAACAUUUAUAAACAACAAAACCAUAAUCAUUCACGAUGGUCUCUCAUUGGUUUUUCGCUUAUGUCAGUCAGCACAGGAGUUCUAGAAGACUGUGAUGAGGACUUUCAUGCAAAUGAUUGCAUACCUGUCAACAAUAGCAAUCAGAGAUGAGAACUCAGGAACAUAAAUCUGUCACAGCAAUUUCUGGAAUCUUUCUAUCAUCGCUCCAUUGACAGUGUUCUGACAUACAAGAUACUACUAUUAUACAAUAACAGCUCAGAACUUUAUAAAAAAAAAAAAAAAAGCUGUAUUUUUUGCAAUUUUUUUAAUACAUCUGUCUUUAAAAAUACUCAUUUAUAUAUGUUAGAAGUUGUAUGAGCUGUGUGUGAGGAUCUUAGAUAUGUUGUUUGUUUCAAAAAGAUAUUUUCAGUACCAUAUCAGUCAAUGCAGUUUAAUUUUAUUAAAGAAAGUGUUUAUGGUUAAUUCUUAGACAUUUUUAAUGCUUCUGAUAUGUUGAUAUUUCUUGUUUCUUUAAUGUAUUACUUCAUAUAUAUCGGUUUUGUUAACAAAUGUGUCAUUUUUAAUUUCAAAAUGCAUUCUGCAUUGUAAUGAAUGAAUGAAUUAAUGAUUUUUUUUGUUCUUUAUACUUUGUAACACAAAUUUUGUUUAUUUUGUAUCUUAAAAUAUUAUUAUACCU
ensembl:lncRNA